CUUUUCUCAUUACCCACAGCUACAUCCACUUCUGUUGGGCCUACUCACUAGGGCUGGGUAUCAUCACUGAUUUCUAUAAUCCAUUCGAUUACAGUUCUCAAAGUCCUGAUUCAAUUCAAUUUUGCUUUCGGUCUUACUAAUGCCCCUGUUGUCUUCCAGGCCUUGAUCAAUGAUGUGCUCAGAGACUUUAUUAACCAUUUUGUUUUCAUGUAUCUGGAUGACUUUCUGAUCUUUUUCAGGACCCGGAGAGUGCACAUCAACCAUGUACAUCUGGUCCUACGUCGCCUGUUGGAGAAUCGCCUCUUUGUUAAGGCAGAAAAGUCUGAGUUCCAUGUUCAAACGUUUUUUUUUUCCUGGUAUUCAUUGUCUGCUCGCAAACAGGGGCGUUUGCGAGCAGAUGCGGUCAAGGUCAAAGCCGUAGUGGAAUGGCCAAUUCCCAAAACCUGCAGGGAGCUGCAGAGAUUCUUAGGCUUCGCCAAUUUCUACCCCCGCUUCAUCUGGGAUUUGAGCAAGGUAGCCCUUCCUCUAACCAACCUCACUUCUCCUAAGUUGUCUUUCCAGUGGUCUCCCACAGCCCAGCAAGCGUUCAAUCGGCUCAAGCACCUGUUCUCUUCAGCUCUGGUCCUUGUCCAGGUGUACCUCAGCUGGCCCCUUUAUCAUGGAGGUGGACACGUCCGACUCGGGCGUGGGGGCGGUUCUCUCCCAACUGAUUGAAGGCAAGCUACAUUUCUGUGCUUUUUUUCUUCCGUAGGCUGUCUCAGGUUGAGAGGAAUUAUGAUGUGGGUGAUCAGGAGUAGCUCGCCAUCAAGUUGGCUCUCAAGGAAUGGCAGCAUUGGUUGGAGGGCAGUGAGCAGCCUUUCGUGGUGUGGACAAACCAUAAAAAUCUGGCAUACCUCCAGGCAGCCAAGCGCCUCAAUGCCCAACAAGCCAGGUCUGAAAAGAGUUCUGUUUGGAGUUGGGAGCUCAGGUCAGCUUGUCCUCCGGGUUCCAUCCCCAAACUAAUGGUCACACUGAAAGGGCAAACCAAGAAAUGGAGACCACGCUGCGCUGCGUUGCUUCAUCUAACCAGUCGACCUGGAGCAACCAAUUGGCCUGGGUGGAGUACGCCCACAACGCAAGCACCUCAUCGGCAACCGGACUCUUGCCCUUCGAGGCAUCGCUGGGGUACCAACCUCCCCUCCUCUCUAGCUCUGAGGGAGAGUUGGCAGUUCCCUCUGUAAAGCACCACCUGAGAUGCUGUCGUCGGGUCUGGCGGGCCACCCGAGCAGCGCUCCUGAGAACGGCCGAGCGUAACAAGGCACUGGCAGAUCGCCGUCGCAACCCUGCCCCAGACUACCAGGUCGGCCAGCAAGUGUGGCUCUCCAGCAGACACAUUCCCCUUUGGACUGGGUCCAAGAAACUGGCCCCUCGGUCUCUGGGCCCCUUCUCUAUCCAGGAGUUCCUGAACCAGGUGACGGUCCAGCUGGCCCUGCCGCCCGCUAUGAAAGUACAUAACGUCUUCCAUGUUUCUCAGAUUAGGCCCGUACGGACCAGCCGUUUGUGCCUGCCCUCCGGGUUAUCGACAGCACCCCGCCAUGCUCCAUUACUCGCAUAAUGGAUGCCAGGCGUCGCAGUAGGGGCUUUCAGUUUUUGGUGGAUUGGGAAGGGUAUGGUCCGGAAGAACGUUCUCGGGUGCCGCGGUCCGCAAUUCUCGAUAAUCGCAUGAUGAAAGAAUUCAGCUGCAGGCAUCCAGACAAGUACAGCAGGUCUCCCGGAGGCUCCCGUUAGAGGGGGGGAACUGUCACGGUCAGACAGUCCUCCCCGGAUGACCCUGCUUGUCUAUGUAUGUGUGUGUGUGUUCACUUCUCCCUCUCUCUCCCCUGUCCUCGAAGCUGUGUUUACGGAAGUGCGCGCUGUAGGGAAGGCGUGACCUGGUGACUUUCAUCAUUGAAAGUCCCUUCUCGCUGUCACAGGCCCACCUGCAUCUGAUUACCUGGCCAGCUGUUGGCAAUCAUCCUUCUUUGCCAGUCGGAGGAGAGUUGGGUGGAGAAUCGAGUUGGGGAGCACACACACUCACGGAGCCUCUGCACGGAGCACAUGGGGAGCAAAGGACGAGCCCUGUUUGGAGAUUGCACUUUUGUAUUGUAUUGCUGGACUUACCUGUUUUUCUCACUGUAAAUAAAUGCACUGUUUUGCUGUUGAAUAGAA
ensembl:lncRNA